GACGAACGCUGGCGGCGUGCUUAACACAUGCAAGUCGAACGGAAAGGCCCUGCUUUUGUGGGGUGCUCGAGUGGCGAACGGGUGAGUAACACGUGAGUAACCUGCCCUUGACUUUGGGAUAACUUCAGGAAACUGGGGCUAAUACCGGAUAGGAGCUCCUGCUGCAUGGUGGGGGUUGGAAAGUUUCGGCGGUUGGGGAUGGACUCGCGGCUUAUCAGCUUGUUGGUGGGGUAGUGGCUUACCAAGGCUUUGACGGGUAGCCGGCCUGAGAGGGUGACCGGCCACAUUGGGACUGAGAUACGGCCCAGACUCCUACGGGAGGCAGCAGUGGGGAAUAUUGCACAAUGGGCGGAAGCCUGAUGCAGUAACGCCGCGUGCGGGAUGACGGCCUUCGGGUUGUAAACCGCUUUCGCCUGUGACGAAGCGUGAGUGACGGUAAUGGGUAAAGAAGCACCGGCUAACUACGUG
rnacentral:rRNA from 1 species